ACGAACGCUGGCGGCGCGCCUAACACAUGCAAGUCGAACGGAGCUUAAAGAGCUUGCUUUUUAAGCUUAGUGGCGAACGGGUGAGUAACGCGUGAGUAACCUGCCCUAGAGUGGGGGACAACAGUUGGAAACGACUGCUAAUACCGCAUAAGCCCACGGUACCGCAUAGUACUGAGGGAAAAGGAUUUAUUCGCUUUAGGAUGGACUCGCGUCCAAUUAGCUAGUUGGUGAGGUAACGGCCCACCAAGGCGACGAUUGGUAGCCGGACUGAGAGGUUGAACGGCCACAUUGGGACUGAGACACGGCCCAGACUCCUACGGGAGGCAGCAGUGGGGGAUAUUGCACAAUGGGGGAAACCCUGAUGCAGCGACGCCGCGUGGAGGAAGAAGGUUUUCGGAUUGUAAACUCCUGUCGUUAGGGACGAUAAUGACGGUACCUAACAAGAAAGCACCGGCUAACUACGUGCCAGCAGCCGCGGUAAAACGUAGGGUGCAAGCGUUGUCCGGAAUUACUGGGUGUAAAGGGAGCGCAGGCGGGAAGACAAGUUGGAAGUGAAAACCAUGGGCUCAACCCAUGAAUUGCUUUCAAAACUGUUUUUCUUGAGUAGUGCAGAGGUAGAUGGAAUUCCCGGUGUAGCGGUGGAAUGCGUAGAUAUCGGGAGGAACACCAGUGGCGAAGGCGGUCUACUGGGCACCAACUGACGCUGAGGCUCGAAAGCAUGGGUAGCAAACAGGAUUAGAUACCCUGGUAGUCCAUGCCGUAAACGAUGAUUACUAGGUGUUGGGGGAUUGACCCCCUCAGUGCCGCAGUUAACACAAUAAGUAAUCCACCUGGGGAGUACGACCGCAAGGUUGAAACUCAAAGGAAUUGACGGGGGCCCGCACAAGCAGUGGAGUAUGUGGUUUAAUUCGAAGCAACGCGAAGAACCUUACCAAGUCUUGACAUCCCUCUGACCGUUCCUUAACCGGAACUUUCCUUCGGGACAGGGGAGACAGGUGGUGCAUGGUUGUCGUCAGCUCGUGUCGUGAGAUGUUGGGUUAAGUCCCGCAACGAGCGCAACCCUUAUUGCCAGUUACUACGUUAAGAGGACUCUGGCGAGACUGCCGUUGACAAAACGGAGGAAGGUGGGGAUGACGUCAAAUCAUCAUGCCCUUUAUGACCUGGGCUACACACGUACUACAAUGGCGUUAAACAAAGAGAAGCAAGACCGCGAGGUGGAGCAAAACUCAAAAACAACGUCUCAGUUCAGAUUGCAGGCUGCAACUCGCCUGCAUGAAGUCGGAAUUGCUAGUAAUCGCGGAUCAGCAUGCCGCGGUGAAUACGUUCCCGGGCCUUGUACACACCGCCCGUCACACCAUGAGAGCCGGGGGGACCCGAAGUCGAUAGUCUAACCGCAAGGAGGACGUCGCCGAAGGUAAAACUGGUGAUUGGGGUG
rnacentral:rRNA from 1 species